rnacentral:rRNA from 1 species
GACGAACGCUGGCGGCGUGCUUAACACAUGCAAGUCGAACGGAAAGGCCCUGCUUUUGUGGGGUGCUCGAUUGGCGAACGGGUGAGUAACACGUGAGUAACCUGCCCCUGACUUUGGGGUAACUUCAGGAAACUGGGGCGCUUACCGGAUAGGAGCUCCUGCUCCGCGGUGGGGGAUGGUAAGAUUCGGCGGUUGGGGAUGGUCUCGCGGCUUCUCAGCUUGUUGGUGGGGUAGUGGCGGACCAAGGUUUUGAAGGGUAGCCGGCCUGAGAGGGUGACCGGCGACAUUGGGACUGAGAUACGGACCAGACUCCUACGGGAGGCAGCAGUGGGGAAUAUUGCACAAUGGGCGGAAGCCUGAUGCAGCAGCGCCGCGUGCGGGAUGACGGCCUUCGGGUUGUAAACCGAUUUCGCCGGUGACGAAGCGUGAGUGACGGUAAUGGGUAAAGAAGCACCGGCUAACUACGUG